AACCGUAAACCCAAGCAGUUGACCAAAUGAAACUGCUCGCCAGAGUACUACCAGCAACAGCCCAAAACUCAAAGGAUUUGGCGGUGCUUCACAUCCCCCUAGAGGAGUCUGUUCUAUAAUCGAUAAACCCCGAUAUACCUUACCAUCCCUUGCCAACUCAGCCUGUAUACCGCCAUCUUCAGCAAACCCCUCCAGGGGACAAAAGUAAGCGCAAGAAUCCACAUAAAAACGUUAGGUCAAGGUGCAGCUUAUGAGAUGGAAGAAAUGGACUACAUUUUCUUAUCCAGAAUACCUACCCACGACAACCUUUAUGAAAACUAAAGGUCAAAGGAGGAUUUAGCAGUAAAUUAAGAAUAGAGAGCUCAAUU
rnacentral:rRNA from 1 species